rnacentral:rRNA from 1 species
AUGACUCUUGGCAACGGAUAUCUAGGCUCUCGCGUCGAUGAAGAACGUAGCGAAAUGCGAUACUUGGUGUGAAUUGCAGAAUCCCGUGAACCAUCGAGUCUUUGAACGCAAGUUGCGCCCAAGACCAUCAGGUCAAGGGCACGUCUGCCUGGGCGUCACGCCUCG